rnacentral:tRNA from 1 species
AAGAAAAGGUCAGGAUAGCUCAGUUGGUAGAGCAGAGGACUGAAAAUCCUCGUGUCNCCNAGUUCAAAUA